AAUAGAUACCCGGGUAGUCCAUGCCGUAAACGUUGGGCACUAGGUGUGGGGGACAUUCCACGUUUUCCGCGCCGUAGCUAACGCAUUAAGUGCCCCGCCUGGGGAGUACGGCCGCAAGGCUAAAACUCAAAGGAAUUGACGGGGGCCCGCACAAGCGGCGGAGCAUGCGGAUUAAUUCGAUGCAACGCGAAGAACCUUACCAAGGCUUGACAUGGACCGGAUCGCCGCAGAAAUGUGGUUUCUCCUUUUGGGGCCGGUUCACAGGUGGUGCAUGGUUGUCGUCAGCUCGUGUCGUGAGAUGUUGGGUUAAGUCCCGCAACGAGCGCAACCCUCGUUCCAUGUUGCCAGCGCGUAAUGGCGGGGACUCAUGGGAGACUGCCGGGGUCAACUCGGAGGAAGGUGGGGACGACGUCAAAUCAUCAUGCCCCUUAUGUCUUGGGCUUCACGCAUGCUACAAUGGCCGGUACAAAGGGUUGCGAUACUGUGAGGUGGAGCUAAUCCCGAAAAAGCCGGUCUCAGUUCGGAUUGGGGUCUGCAACUCGCCUAC
rnacentral:rRNA from 1 species